rnacentral:rRNA from 1 species
GACGAACGCUGGCGGCGUGCCUAAUACAUGCAAGUCGAACGAGAGCGACCGGUGCUUGCACUGGUCAAUCUAGUGGCGAACGGGUGAGUAACACGUGGGUAACCUGCCCAUCAGAGGGGGAUAACAUCCGGAAACGGAUGCUAAAACCGCAUAGGUCUUCGAACCGCAUGGUUUGAAGAGGAAAAGAGGCGCAAGCUUCUGCUGAUGGAUGGACCUGCGGUGCAUUAGCUAGUUGGUGAGGUAACGGCUCACCAAGGCCGUGAUGCAUAGCCGACCUGAGAGGGUGAUCGGCCACAUUGGGACUGAGACACGGCCCAAACUCCUACGGGAGGCAGCAGUAGGGAAUCUUCCGCAAUGGACGCAAGUCUGACGGAGCAACGCCGCGUGAGUGAAGAAGGUUUUCGGAUCGUAAAACUCUGUUGUUAGAGAAGAACAAGUGCUAGAGUAACUGUUAGCGCCUUGACGGUAUCUAACCAGAAAGCCACGGCUAACUACGUG